UACGUAGGGUGCAAGCGUUAAUCGGAAUUACUGGGCGUAAAGCGUGCGCAGGCGGUUAUGUAAGACAGAUGUGAAAUGCCCGGGCUUAACCUGGGAACUGCAUUUGUGACUGCAUGGCUAGAGUUUGGCAGAGGGGGUAGAAUUCCACGUGUAGCAGUGAAAUGCGUAGAUAUGUGGAGGAACACCGAUGGCGAAGGCAGCCCCCUGGGUCAAGACUGACGCUCAUGCACGAAAGCGUGGG
rnacentral:rRNA from 1 species